GUUUUUGUGCAAACUGAGACUGGUUGUGUCUUUGGGAUGGAAUUGGAUCGUGGUGACAAUGCACACACAGUGAAAAGAAGGUUGCAGCUUGCCCUUAAAGUCCCCACUGAGGAGAGUUGCUUGACUUUUGGGGAUAUGGUACUGAAUAAUGACCUUAGUGCUGUUCGCAAUGAUUCUCCUCUUCUUUUAACACGAAAUUGUCUGCAUAGAAGCUCAUCUACUCCCUGUCUUUCACCGACUGGCAAGGAAGUCCAACAGAGGGAUCAGAGUGGUCUUAUUGAGAUAUUGGGACAGUCAAAUAGCUUUUCUAAAAUGAAACAGUUGAUCAAGGAAAGUAUCAAGGCUAUUAAGAUGGGUGUUGAUCCAAUUCCAGUUCAUAGUGGGCUUGGAGGUGCAUACUAUUUUAGGAACAGCAAAGGUGAGAGUGUUGCAAUUGUCAAACCAACAGAUGAAGAACCUUUUGCACCAAACAACCCAAAAGGCUUUGUUGGUAAAGCACUUGGGCAACCAGGUUUAAAACGGUCUGUGCGGGUGGGGGAAACAGGAUUCAGGGAAGUUGCUGCUUACCUUCUUGACUAUGAUCACUU
rnacentral:misc_RNA from 1 species